UCUUCAGGGUUCUGAUCGCCCAUUGUUAUUGUUAAGUGGCUAUAGUGUUGCCGUUGUGAUUAUCGAUACUUUGCAGAUUUUCGAUCUGUCAUGUAUUAAUUUUUGUUCUUAUGUUUCAGUUCAAAAAUACGGUAGUGUUGCCAGCUCAAAGCAUUUGAUGGAAGAUGAUCAAUCCCAACCAUAAACAUCAAAAAUUUUAGAAGAUCAUGAUGACGGUUCUAGUGUAAGCACAUUAAUUCGAGACUCGAAAAGAGCUUUUUCUGAGCAGUUCCAUAAAGGAUGCGUUUGAUCGAAUUUCAUCAAAUAAAAGUAAAGAAAUAUAUAUUCGAUUAAAUAUUAACAAAAUAAUAUUAACACAGAUAGUAUUAGUAUUCAUGAGAAAAAUAUAAAUAUUUAUUUUACAUUAUAUAUAUAUUUUAUUUAGCUGGUGGUACGAAGUAUAACAGAAUUGCUCAAGCAUUGAUAUUUUUUAUCUGUCGAGAUAUGCGUCCAUUUAACAUAGUUGAAGAUGAAGGCUUUUUACGACUUGUAAAAGAACUGGAAGCUACUUUUAAAAUUCCUAGUGCAAAGUAUUUAAAGAAAAGGACUACUUAAAAGUACGAUACUUGUGUUGCUAUUUGUAAGUCCAAGAUAGACAAUUUCUGUUUAAGCCAGAACAGAAUAACAUAUGGACAGAGACAAUGAAUAAAGUAGGAUUUAGGGGCAUCACCAUACAUUUUGUAGAAAAUUGUAAAAUGUGUAUUUAUCAUCUUGCAACUUGUGCAUUAAACCCCUCGGCAUCCGGAAGAGCUAUUCAAAAACUCAGAACUAUGGUUUUCGGAUAACUAUGUAGCUCAAGUGAAUCAGAAGAUGUCUCAUCCCCAGCACCACCAGAAUACGAUUCUCGAAAACAUAAUAAAGAGUUAGCGCAUGGACACAAAAGGAAAAAGAAAUCUCAUCAGGGAGAUGGAGUUUCUCUGUAUCCAUCCAAUCCAGUGGUUUCACUUAAAAGCAACCCAUUUGCAGAAUGGGAUGACACGAAGUCUGUGGUGCCUUGUUUAUACAAAUACGCACAGGAAUAUUUAAUAGUUGUUGCUACAUCACUUCCCAGCGAGUGCCUUUUUUCCAAAGCUGGCGCGACAAUGUCUCAAACACGGAACAGAUCGUCUCCAAAAUACCUUGAACGAUUACUGAUUUUGGGGAACCUUAAGGCUAAAGAGUUUUUGGUUUAAAGUAUGCACGUAACGCAUAACAUUUCCAAUUAAUAAAUACUUUUUUCUCCUCAA